rnacentral:rRNA from 1 species
GACGAACGCUGGCGGCGUGCUUAACACAUGCAAGUCGAACGGAAAGGCCCUGCUUUUGUGGGGUGCUCGAGUGGCGAACGGGUGAGUAACACGUGAGUAACCUGCCCUUGACUUUGGGAUAACUUCAGGAAACUGGGGCUAAUACCGGAUAGGAGCUCCUGCUGCAUGGUGGGGGUUGGAAAGUUUCGGCGGUUGGGGAUGGACUCGCGGCUUAUCAGCUUGUUGGUGGGGUAGUGGCUUACCAAGGCUUUGACGGGUAGCCGGCCUGAGAGGGUGACCGGCCCCAUGGGGAGUGGGAUACGGCCCAGACCCCUACGGGGGGCAGGAGGGGGGAAUAUUGCAAAAUGGGGGGAAGCCUGAUGCAGAAACCCCGGGGGGGGGAUGACGGCCUUCGGGUGGUAAACCGCUUUCGCCUGUGACGAAGGGUGGGGGAGGGGAAUGGGUAAAAAAGCACCGGCUAACUACGU